CGCACAGCUCUGGAGCUGCGGUCUCAGACGACAGCGGAAGCCGACCCACGGGAGCGUGAGGAGGGCCAGAUGAAUAGAUGCUGGCAGCAGCAGCAGGGGACGGCAGGCUGAAUUCCAAACCUCCAGUUGGCUCGGCUUCUCCCAGACUAUUAGAGGAAUGAAGGCUGCAGUGAGAGAAGACCUUCGCUCCGGAUCAUGCGGCAAGAGAUGGACCAAGGUUUGGCCUCUCUUCAGAAACCGGCAGUGCCCCCUCC